UUGGCUCGAAUCAGCCUCUCACGAUUCAAACUGUCGCAGUUCAAUCCUCUCCCUGUCUAUCUCUCUCAGCCAUGAUGAAAGCUUCGUCGACAACGCUACUCGAGUCAGAUUUGAGCUACAAACAGAGAUGGCGGAGGAGGAGAAGAGGUUUCGAUGGUUAAGUUCCGUAAUCUGCUGAUUUUGUCUUUGUUUGUGUCGUUUCAAACUCAGUUCCAGGUUAGUUGUUUCGUUUCUCUGUUCUGAACGAUGCAAUAACAUUGAUUCAUCAGGAACACAUGAUUAGUAAGUUAAAGUUGUAAGCUUUGACUUGAUUCUUAAUAAACUAAAUGGAUUUUCAUAGGUUUUCUCACCUUGUGAUCACCAAUCUAUCUACAUUCUUGGGCUUAUUUUGUUUGUUUACUGCUGUUUUCAGUUACUUGGAGCCUCUUGCAGUUGCUCUAGAUAAAGAGAAGUGGAGCAUGUGUGUUUACUCAAAGUGAAACAGAGUUUGAUGGAGAUUGCUGAGUUCGAUAUGGCUUCUCCUUUUUUCUUUCUCUCUCGCAGGAUUGGUUCUCUUCAUGUUUUUACUAAUGUCUCGGACGGUUAUGAAUCAAGCUCUGCUCAAGAAAGCUACUCUGAGACAAGUUCAGGUAAACUAUCAAAGGGAGAAGAACACGAGGCAGAGGAGCUCGUGAAAAUUUAAAUGGUGAAGCUCAUUAUUGAGGAUGAUGGUCCGUAUGAGCUGAUCUGAGUUUUGAUGUUGAAGAAGAUGAGAAGCUUGGUUGCAGAAGAUGACAUGGGAGCAGAGAUUAGAGUUUGAGAUUGAAUGUUAACAUAUGCAACUCUUGAGAUGUUGAAUGUAGAGUUAGCCAUAAAAAAAUGUACUUAGAAAUAUUGUCAUACUAGUUAUCUCAAAUCCUUGAAUGUUUUGGAUUUUUAAUGAAAAACAUAUGGUAUUUUAUUAUUUA